rnacentral:misc_RNA from 1 species
UUUUAUUUUCCACAGUUGCAUUUUUCUCUGGUAAAUACCUCCUCACAGAGGCCACAACACUCUGUUAUGUAUUACUAUAUGGGUAAUAUGAAACCGUAUUUUGAGCCUCCAUCCAUAGAAAUUCGAUCUAAUUCAAAUCAAAUUGUAUGUUGGAAUAAUGUCGAGUUUCAAUGUCUGAAAAGAAACAGACCAGUCAUAUUUUAUAGUCGAGUUUAAUCAAUUAUUGUCGUCAACAAUAUGGACGCAUCCGUCUCCCACGGAAUAACGAGAAGAGCAUCUGGAUUGUCGCCAGAUGUUCAAAGACAGCAAACGUUCACAUUCGGUAUGAACAAAAACCAACGCAUUCCGUCUAGAGAUCAAACACAAGUCACACAUUUUGCCAAGUUGUGGCAGGAACGAUUGCUGGCUAGGAAAACACUUUCCCAGAAGAAAUUUCAGGCCAGAGCAACAUUUAGAAAAGCGAUCAAGAAGAUUUUAUCAUCCUUAAAAGUGAUAAAUGCUUUCUUAAGUUGCUCAUCGAACACCACCAGUUCGCAUGGUCGCCACGAUGCAGUGCGAUAUCUCAUGGACGUACCGGACAUCACUGGAAAUCAUGUUCCAGAUGAAGGAAGAUCUGCUAGAAAGGAUGCAAACUCUCCAACACCCUUAUUUGAUCCGGCUUGGUUUAAAGCAAACCGCGAGAUCCGUCUCAGCAGUGAAACCAAAGCAAUUUUAAGUCAACAACCACAUACAAGAACGCCAGAACAAAUUCAAACGGUGUUUCGAUCUCUGCAAACGCUUCCUUCAUUUGCGGAAUAUCCCUUGUACCACCAGAAGGCAAUCUGUCACGAAGCCUCAUUUCAAAGUUUUCCGCCAAACGUAACGAUUCUUCAGCAAGGCCACCGAGCAGACAACUUUUAUUUUGUGUUAUUUGGAUCAGCUACUGCGAUAUCGAAAGAUGAUGAAAAUGACGCAGAAAACAGUAACGAGUCGGUUUCUGUGGUCAAGAGAGGGAUGGCAUUUGGUGAGGCAGCCAUCAUGACUAAUUCUCUGAGAAAAGUUACCGUUACUUCCAAGACGUACAUUGAACUGCUCGUUGUCAGUAAAGAGGAUUAUGCUAAAAUCUUUUUGGGGGCAGAUUCUGACAGUGGGAAAAAAGAAUACAUAUCUUUUCUAAGGACAGUUGACUUUCUUCGUGACUGGCCAGUUGAUAUCCUGGAAUCGUAUCCAGAACAUUCUCAACAUUGCUAUUUCAGGAGAGGAACGGUUAUUGUUCGCAAUAGUAAUAGUUCUCCAUGGCUGUAUGUUGUAAAAUCGGGAGUAUGCGAAGUUCUUAUUAGAUUAAAUGCUGUAAAACCAAGGAAAGCAAUUGGAAGGAAUGUGCGGGAAUUAUCAAGUUUGGAAGCACUUACAAAAACCACGAUGGAGCGACGGCAAGAAAUACGAAAUAGGAGAAUUCAAGAUGGAGAAAAACAUUUUACAAAUUUACCAAACGUUAAUGGAAAAGAAAAAAGUUCACCCAUACCAAGCUUCAGGAGGAAAACUCUUUGCUUUGUUCCUGGGUUAGGUCUGGUGAACAGUCAAACAAUAUCCCAACGAAAGUCCGCACGAUCAGAGGUAGCCCCAAUAGCAGAAGAUGACGUCUUUCCAGACUUCGUGAACAACGACGUAAAAACAACAAACUCUAGUAAGAGCAGCAAUACCACCAUUAGUAGUCUUUCAAACAGACGUGUUUCUUGUCAACUUCCAAGAAUCAGCCAGUCGAACAGCGUUGUGAUGACACGAAGGAAGUCAAAAACAAUGCCGGAUUUCAAUCAGGCAAAUGAUGUAUCAAGCAUUUCACUAGGAAGAACCAGAUCCUUUUCUUUGCCAUCAACAUCAAUAUUUAGUGAAAAAUUUUCAAGACUUUCGAAAACGAAGCCGGCUUUCGUUCAAAUCGACUUAUUGCAUCCAAAAAGAGUAUUUGGUUUGUCUGAACUCGAUUUUAAAUACAACGCUUUGGAUCCUGGGCGACCGGCAAACGUCAGUUUGGUGAGCCGAGGAGCGGAGUGUAUUAUGAUCUCUAAGAAAUUCUUCAUAGAACAUGCCAAUGCGCUCACAAAGCGUUGGAUCCGCCUUAACGUGCAACCUUAUCUACCCACAGAGAAACAUCAACAAACGCUUCAAGAAAAGACUGACUGGGAUGCGUUCAAAAAGAAACUUGUAACAAGUAUAGUGAACGAAAAUACAAAGACAAGUUUAUCACACUCUAAAAGAGGUUGAUUCCUCGUUCACCAAUCUUAAUAGAGAAAAUGAAGAACAUGGAAUAUCACUUGUUGUACAGUAUACUGUGAAUUUGGGGUGUUCAUUGUUCAUGUGAGGUUGCUUGUUCUACUUUGAUGCAUGUGUGCGCAUCUUGGCAUCGGCUCGGCGCUGUGAAAGGAGAUCCUGGUAGUUCUUUUGUCUGAAGACAAGUUUGGUAUGGAAGAAACGACACUUGUGUUUGGCAGGAUGUACUGUUUGCAGUGCCUCAAAGACCCAUCAACUAGUUGAACAAAAGUGUUGAAUCAUUCCAACCAAUACAUUGAGUGUUUCCUCUGUAACCAUGCACUUGUGAUAGCUGCACAGGCAAUGUUGCAGUUCGUUCAAGCAAAUCUACGUGACGAGUCUUUGUUAUCAACCAGCGUUGCCAAGUUCGGAAUUUUAUCCAAGAUCUUGGGAUUUUUUGAAACCGUUGGGGCUCUUAUGGGAUUUUUAUUUGAAAUGCAAAUCCCGGGAUUCAGUUUUUUG